GGCAAUGGCGAACAAUUAGAAACAUGCUGAUUUUAUGACUCAUAAUCGCUUGGUCGUUGGUUCAAACCCAACAGGGGCCACCA
rnacentral:tRNA from 1 species